UACGUAGGGUCCGAGCGUUGUCCGGAUUUAUUGGGCGUAAAGAGCUCGUAGGCGGUUUGUCGCGUCUGCUGUGAAAACUCGGGGCUUAACCCCGGGCCUGCAUUCGAUACGGGCAGACUAGAGUUCGGUAGGGGAGUCUGAAAUUCCUGGUGUAGCGGUGAAAUGCGCAGAUAUCAGGAGGAACACCGGUGGCGAAGGCGGGACUCUGGGCCGAUACUGACGCUGAGGAGCGAAAGCGUGGGGAGCGAACAGG
rnacentral:rRNA from 1 species